rnacentral:rRNA from 1 species
UACGGAGGAUGCGAGCGUUAUCCGGAUUUAUUGGGUUUAAAGGGUGCGUAGGCGGACGCUUAAGUCAGCGGUAAAAUUGCGGGGCUCAACCUCGUCGAGCCGUUGAAACUGGGUGCCUUGAGUGGGCGAGAAGUACGCGGAAUGCGUGGUGUAGCGGUGUAAUGCAUAGAUAUCACGCAGAACUCCGAUUGCGAAGGCAGCGUACCGGCGCCCUACUGACGCUGAAGCACGAAGGCGUGGGUAUCGAACAGG